rnacentral:rRNA from 1 species
AGGACGAACGCUGGCGGCGCGCUUAACACAUGCAAGUCGAGCGAGAACCAGGGCUUCGGCUCUGGGGACAGCGGCGAACGGGUGAGUAACACGUGGGUAAUCAACCCUCGACAUCGGGAUAGCCCGGGGAAACCCGGAUUAAUACCGAAUGCUCCGUCUGGCCUUCGGGCCGGCCGGAAAAGGUAGCUUCGGCCUCCGGUCGGGGACGAGCCCGCGGCGGAUUAGCUUGUUGGCGGGGUAACGGCCCACCAAGGCUUCGAUCGGUAGCCGGCCUGAGAGGGUGAUCGGCCACACCGGAACUGAGACACGGUCCGGACUCCUACGGGAGGCAGCAGUGGGGAAUCUUGCGCAAUGGGCGAAAGCCUGACGCAGCAACGCCGCGUGGAGGAUGAAGGUCCUUGGAUUGUAAACUCCUGUCGGCCGGGAAGAAGUUCAUCGGGGCUCAUACCCUCGAUGAUUGACUGUACCGGCAAAGGAAGCCCCGGCUAACUCUGUGCCAGCAGCCGC